rnacentral:lncRNA from 1 species
AUGAAAAAUUUACCUUUUUUUUAAUUUGACCAUUGUUUCACAGAAUUACAUCGGCAUCAGAGGUACCAUAAGUGUAGGUCUCUAUGGAUUAUCUCCAUCUUCUUCACAACCUUAAAUUACUAAGAGCUACCUUUCCAAAGACAUUGUGGGCUACGCGAUGCUAAAAAUCCAUUGAAAUCGUACAAGGAUGGGCCAUCUCAAGAUCAGUAUCGACUGUCAAAAGAUACUGUCAUCAAUAUGCUGGAAGCCGAAAUGAAGAGGAACACACAGAGGAUUGAUCAACUUCCUGUUUAUUUGCAGGUGUUGACAACUCUCCAUUUUUAUGCAGUGGGAUCAUUUUAAAAGAUGCAUGGUGAUGAGGCAGCAAUAUCGCAGUCAUCAAUGUGUCGGAAGCUAUAGCAAGAAGGAAGAGGCAAUACAUGAAGAUUCCUACGACAAGAGAAGAAGUUGAAACAACUCAGAGACAGUUCUAUUUAACUGUUAGAUUUCCAGGAGUGAAAGGUGCAAUUGAUGAUUGAUGGGACACAUGUCUACAUCAAGAGCCGGGGGGGGGGGAUUGGGCCAUGCAUGUAUGCUUCCUAUAUACACCUUCCAACUUCAAGUGGAGAGGAAUGCCUAUAACAAUGGCAAAAGAAUUAAGAACAUAGAAACACAGAGUUCAUUCAAAUUUAUGAAGAAUACUUUACUUGUUUAUUUGUUAAUGAAUUAAUUGGUAUAACCCUGUGAUUCCAGCAGCUUAGCUUCAGCAACCUCUCUUUCUUUAUUGAAAACGUCAAUUCGUAGUUCAUGCUCCUUCAAGAUCAUAUCGUGCUCUUUCAAUCUCAUUUCAUGCUCUUUCAAUUUCAGAUCGUGUUCUUUCACUCUCCUCUUGUACUCUUUAUAAAGUCGAGAUCAUGUUUCUUCCAUUGAACUUCAAUUCUAACGGCAUGCACUUCUACCAGCUCAAACUCUUCUGACAGAUGAUUCUUUUUCCCGUGAGAUGGGUGAUUCAAAUUCCAUUUUGUAGAACGAUGGUUUGUGGUAUUGCUGCAGGGUUAAAAUUCAAUAUUGAAAUGCAUUUAAGUACAUAACAUAUAGUAACAGGGCAGUUGUGAAACACAUAAUAUGAAUCAGGUUGUCAAAGAUGAAUGUUGUUUAACCUACUGGUAACUCUCUACUUGAUAGGAUCAGCUUCUGACACCGAUGUACAUUGGUUUGUUUUCUGAUUGUUCUUGGAACCAUGAAUUGAAUUUUGAAAACAUUAAAGACUUUAUUAUCAAAAAUUAUUUAAAACAGACAACAAUGCAAUGCAUUCUUUUCAGAAGUAUACAAUAUUCAGUGCACAGUUUAUUGAAUUGCUUGAAUCUGGUAACAUACAUAUAUUGAAGCCCUUUUCAUACUUCAAAUGAUUCACUCCCAGUUCAGUUUUAUAAAUCCCUCUUCACCUCUAAAUACCUUACUUCAUAUCUGUAGUAUAUUCAGAUUAUUUGGUGUGUACCAGUGUAUUGUGCAUCCAAUUAACAUGAUCUUGUAAUUACAUAUACAUGUACUUGAUUUGGGGAUCGUGUUUAAUUUGUUACAGUAUUUAACAUCUUUUUCAACUACAUCUGAUUUAUGAGUCUGGCCAACGAGAUAUUCUGACAGAAAGGGUGAAUGGAAAAAGGAAAAAAAGGCAUUGUAAUUUUAAUGAUACUAAAUUACAUUGAAGAGGACUGCGAUUUGGAAGAAGUGCUAUCAGUACGGGAAUGUUUCCUUGAUACCUCAGACAGAAAUGAAUUUGUCCUCGUGGUGAAAGAAAUGAACUUCUGUUCUUUUGCAGGUUUAUGAAUUUCAGCAAUGUGUCACAUUCAUCUCAGUUGGGAGGGUUUUAUUAUUUUUGAAGAAAAGUGAUGAAUACUCUUGAUAAUGUAAUUAUUUUAUGAUUUGGGAAGUAUUUUGAGAGGUCCACUAUGUGAGAUAGCUGUUAUUCAAAAUAGCUUAAACUUGACAUG